rnacentral:rRNA from 1 species
CUUAGUACGAGAGGACCGGGAUGGACGUACCUCUGGUGUACCAGUUGUUCUGCCAAGGGCAUGGCUGGGUAGCUAUGUACGGAAUGGAUAAGCGCUGAAAGCAUCUAAGCGCGAAGCCAACUUCAAGAUAAGAUUUCCCACCGCAAGGGUAAGACCCCAGAAAGACUAUCUGGUUGAUAGGUCGAAGGUGUAAGUGCAGCAAUGUAUUUAGCUUAUCGAUACUAAUAGGUCGAGGACUUGACCAA